rnacentral:rRNA from 1 species
UUUAUGGAGAGUUUGAUCCUGGCUCAGGAUGAACGCUGGCGGCGUGCCUAAUACAUGCAAGUCGAGCGAACAGAUAAGGAGCUUGCUCCUUUGACGUUAGCGGCGGACGGGUGAGUAACACGUGGGUAACCUACCUAUAAGACUGGAAUAACUCCGGGAAACCGGGGCUAAUGCCGGAUAACAUGUUGAACCGCAUGGUUCUACAGUGAAAGACGGUCUUGCUGUCACUUAUAGAUGGACCCGCGCCGUAUUAGCUAGUUGGUG